GCUCUAGUAACGCAGCCGGUUAGCGCGUCAGUCUCAUAAUCUGAAGGCCGUGAGUUCGAGUCUCACCUGGGGCA
rnacentral:tRNA from 1 species